rnacentral:rRNA from 1 species
UUGCACAGGUGCUGCAUGGCUGUCGUCAGCUCGUGUCGUGAGAUGUUCGGUUAAGUCCGCUAACGAGCGCAACCCUCACUGUGUGUUAUACGUGUCACACGGGAUUGCCGGUUUUAAGCCGGAGGAAGGUGGGAUGACGUCAAGUCAGCAUGGCCUUUAUAUCCUGGGCUACACACACGCUACAAUGGUCGGUACAAUAGGUUGCCAAGCCGCGAGGCGGAGCCAAUCCAUAAAGCCGGCCUCAGUUCAGAUUGUAGGCUGCAACUCGCCUGCAUGAAGAUGGAGUUGCUAGUAACCGCAGGUCAGCAAUACUGCGGUGAAUACGUUCCCGGGGCUU